GGUUCUUCAGUGCGGGGAAGGAUGAGAAGCUUCGACCAAGGUUCGAUUCGAGCGUAGCGAGAA
rnacentral:sRNA from 1 species